UUAACUCAGAUUUGUAUGAAGUUGGAACGUUUGCCAAAGUUUGCCGCUAGGGGCGCUGUUCCAACUGCAUACAACUUUAAGUUA
rfam:Bombyx mori DNA, contig: Bm_scaf65_contig30023, strain: p50T/Dazao, build 2, whole genome shotgun sequence.